CAGUCGCCACGGGAAUACGAAGGGUGCAAGCGUUACUCGGAAUUACUGGGCGUAAAGCGUGCGUAGGUGGUGGUUUAAGUCCGUUGUGAAGGCCCUGGGCUCAACCUGGGAAUUGCAGUGGAUACUGGGUCACUAGAGUGUGGUAGAGGAUAGUGGAAUUUCCGGUGUAGCAGUGAAAUGCGUAGAGAUCGGAAGGAACAUCUGUGGCGAAGGCGACUAUCUGGGCCAACACUGACACUGAGGCACGAAAGCGUGGGGAGCAAACAGGAUUAGAUACCCCGGUAGUCCCUGUCUCUUAUAC
rnacentral:rRNA from 1 species